UACGUCUAAGUAUAUGGUGUACAAAAAUUUUUGAUAUUUUUAGGAAUAGUUUAAUUCUAUUAGAUGUAA
rnacentral:tRNA from 1 species